rnacentral:rRNA from 1 species
AGAGUUUGAUCCUGGCUCAGAACGUACGCUGGCGGCACGCCUUAUACAUGCAAGUCGAACGAAGUAGCAAUACUUAGUGGCAGACGGGUGAGUAACAUGUAGGUAUCUUCCCUUUGGUGAGGAAUAACACGAGGAAACUUGUGCUAAUACCUCAUAAGUCUUUACGGAGAAAGCUUUAUGCGCCGAAGGAUGAGCCUGCACUUGAUUAGUUUGUUGGUGGGGUAAUGGCCUACCAAGACUUUGAUCUAUAGCUGAUCUGAGAGGAUGAUCAGCCACAUUGGGGCUGAGACACGGCCCAAACUCCUACGGGAGGCAGCAGUAGGGAAUAUUGCACAAUGGAGGAAACUCUGAUGCAGCGAUGCCGCGUGAGUGAAGAAGGCCCUUGGGUUGUAAAGCUCUUUCGUCGGGGAAGAAAAUGACUGUACCCGAAUAAGAAGGUCCGGCUAACUUCGUGCCAGCCGCCGCGGUAAUUC